ACACGGGUCUCCAUGGUUUACACGAGUCUGUGUACGUCGCCCUAUAUUGCAUUUCUUCCUUGGCUCUUUUAGCUUUCCCUAGCAGUAGGUUACACAGAUUUGUGGCUUUGAUUACAUGACCUGUAUAAAGUGUAUCAGUGGCACUUCUCUUUCCUUUGGUCUUUUUAAGCUCCCUUCUGCACUCCUAUGCCUUGGAACUUUAUCCAAAUACCUGUUUGAUGGGGCUAGCAUCAAGAUCGUGUGCAUCAAUUAGUCAUGGAGUUUCAGAUAUUGAUUGGAUACGGACGCAGGUUAAUACUUGUGCACCCCACUGGCUUGGGUUGAUGAUUCUGCACCUCAAGAAAGAUUUGGAUCCAAGUGGAGCCGGGGUUGAUGGCUGUGCACUCCCGGGCUAGAUUGGAAUUAAGAGAUCCUUUUAAGGUCUAUGAACUAGGUAUAUUUGCAACCUGUUUGGAAAGCAGUGUCAAUGCUGCUGGCAUUCAGGCAUUGAUUAUUUGCUGAGAACAACGAGUUUCUUCUUCUUCUUCUUGUUUUUAUAACAGAACAAAGAGGUUUUUGGGUAGUUUAUGUUCGUAAAAAAAUGUCAAGGAUUCAAAGCAAGCGCUAGCUUAUAAGAGAUGUGCAAACUGUUGGCAAUGGUAGAGAUACCAUUUUGUGACCUUAAUAUAAUUAGCAAAGUAAAGUUCCUCUGCAUUAUGAUAAGGUAAGAGUUGCACAUGUAGUUUGAGAUAGCAAAAGGACUGUUAUAUGUGGACUUUAUCUAGAUAGAGAUGUUUUUGCUGCAUCACCUAUAAUGUCUAGAUUUAUUAAAUAAAUCCUAGGGAUAAGGAGCCGAUCAUGCCCAUGCAAACGUUUCCUCAAAUUCAUAUGGUGAAUUUUGCAAAUGUUACAUGAGCAACAAAAGGGAAUAGUGGA
rnacentral:misc_RNA from 1 species